rnacentral:ncRNA from 1 species
AGAAAGGCGAAGAACGGGAAGAGUAACGGUUUUGGUAAUGCUCAGAGAGGGGAUGCCGCCGGCUGAGAGCAGCCCUGUAUGGAUAAACUGUGAAGUGCGCCCGGGAGCUGAUCCCGCGAACAGACAGAGUAGCGGGAUACGUGUGGCAGACGUUACAGGCUCAUGAGUGAAAGAGAAAUUCUUUUAUUAGAGUGGAACCGCGGAACUAACUUCGUCUCUGAG